UACGAAGGGGGCUAGCGUUGUUCGGAAUUACUGGGCGUAAAGCGCGUGUAGGCGGGUCUUUAAGUCAGGGGUGAAAUGCCAGGGCUCAACCUUGGAACUGCCUUUGAUACUGGAGACCUUGAGUCCGGGAGAGGUGAGUGGAACUGCGAGUGUAGAGGUGAAAUUCGUAGAUAUUCGCAAGAACACCAGUGGCGAAGGCGGCUCACUGGCCCGAUACUGACGCUGAGGCACGAAAGCGUGGGGAGCAAACAGG
rnacentral:rRNA from 1 species